rnacentral:rRNA from 1 species
GACGAACGCUGGCGGCGUGCUUAACACAUGCAAGUCGAACGAUGAAGCCUUCGGGUGGAUUAGUGGCGAACGGGUGAGUAACACGUGGGAAAUCUGCCCUGCACUCUGGGACAAGCCUUGGAAACGAGGUCUAAUACCGGAUAUGACCUGUCCUCGCAUGGGGACGGGUGGAAAGCUCCGGCGGUGCAGGAUGAUCCCGCGGCCUAUCAGCUUGUUGGUGGGGUAAUGGCCUACCAAGGCGACGACGGGUAGCCGGCCUGAGAGGGCGACCGGCCACACUGGGACUGAGACACGGCCCAGACUCCUACGGGAGGCAGCAGUGGGGAAUAUUGCACAAUGGGCGAAAGCCUGAUGCAGCGACGCCGCGUGAGGGAUGAAGGCCUUCGGGUCGUAAACCUCUUUCAGCAGGGAAGAAGCGCAAGUGACGGUACCUGCAGAAGAAGCACCGGCUAACUACGUGC